rnacentral:lncRNA from 1 species
AUGGGUUCACUGUUGUCUUUACUCUGGGUUCACUGUUGUAUUUUCUCUGGGUGCAAAAUUGUCUUUCCUCUGAGUUCACUGUCAUCUUUUCUCUGGGUGCACGAUCAUCUUUUCUCUGAGUUCACCAUCGUUGUUUUUAUGGGUUCCCUAUCAUAUUUUUUCUGGGUUAACUGUCAAAUUUUCUCUACAUUGACCAUCGUCUUUUCUCUGGGUUCACUGUCAUCUUUUCUUUGGGUUCACUGUCAUCUCUUCUUUGGGUUUACCGUCGUCUUUUCUCUGGGUUCACCAUCGUCUUUCCUCUGGAUUCACUGUUGUCUUUCCUCUCGGUUUACUGUCGUCUUUUCUGUGGUUUCACCAUUGUCUUUUCUCUGGAUUCACUGUCAUCUUCCCUCCAGGUUCACUGUCUGUUCUCUGAGUUCACUGUUGUAUUUUCUCUGGGUUCACUGUCAUCUUUUCUCUGGGAUCACUGUUGUAUUUUCUCAGGGUGCAAAGUCGUCUUUUCUCUGGAUUCACUGUCGUCUUUUCUCUGGGUUCACUGUCAUAAUUUCUCUGAGUUCACUGUCAUCUUUUCUCUGGGUGCACCAUCAUCUUUUCUCUGGGUUCAUCUUUGGUUUUUUUUCUGGAUUCACUGUCAUCUUUUCUCGGGUGUGCCAUCAUCAUUUCUCUGGGUUCACUGUCAUCCUUUCUCUGGGUUCCUGUCGAAUUUUCUCUACAUUCACCAUUGUCUUUUUCUCUGGGUACACUGUCGUCUUUUCUAUGGGUUCACUGUUGUAUUUUCUCUUGGUUCAACAUUGUCUUUUCUCUGUUUUCACCGUCGUCUUUUCUCUGGGUUCACUGUCAUCUUUUCUCUGGGUUCACUUCGUAUGUUCUAUGGGAUCACCAUUGUCAAUUCUCUGGGUGCACCCUCGUCUUUUUUCUGGGUUCACCAUUGUCAAUUCUCUGUGUUCACUAUCGUAUAUUCUCUGGGUGUACUGUCGUUUUUCCUCUGGGUUCACUGUCAUAUUUUCUCUGGCCCCACAGUUGUAUAUUCUCUGGGUCACCAUUGUCUUUUCCCUGGGUUCACUAUCAUCUUUUCUCUGGGUUCACCGUUGUCUUUGCUCUGGGUUCACAGUUGUCUUUUCUUUAGGUUCGCUGUCAUCUUUUCUCUGGGUUUGCGGUUGUCUUUGCUCCAGGUUCAUCGUCAUCUUUUCUCUGGGUGCACCAUCAUUUCUCUGGGUGCACCGUCAUUUUCUCUCUGGUUGGGUUCACUGUCUUAUUUUAUUUGGGUUCACUGUCGUAUUUUCUUUCGGUUCACUGUCAUAUUCUCUGUGGGUGCACUGUUGUAUUUUCUCUGACUUCACUGUCAUCUUUUUUCUGGGUUUACCAUCAUCUUCACUCUGA